rnacentral:rRNA from 1 species
UCCCAGUCACGAUAGCCCAGAUACACUGUCCCCAUAGUAUAGUAAGUUGGCAUCAACCUACUAUUAAAGUCACAACGGUAAAAGAUGAGCAUGCGUCCCAUUAGCUAGAUGGUAAGGUAACGGCUUACCAUGGCAACGAUGGGUAGGGGUCCUGAGAGGGAGAUCCCCCACACUGGUACUGAGACACGGACCAGACUCCUACGGGAGGCAGCAGUGAGGAAUAUUGGUCAAUGGGCGCAAGCCUGAACCAGCCAUGCCGCGUGCAGGAUGAAGGUCCUAUGGAUUGUAAACUGCUUUUGUACAGGAAGAAACACUCCUUCGUGAAGGAACUUGACGGUACUGUAAGAAUAAGGAUCGGCUAACUCCGUGCCAGCAGCCGCGGUAAUACGGAGGAUCCAAGCGUUAUCCGGAAUCAUUGGGUUUAAAGGGUCUGUAGGCGGUCUUGUAAGUCAGUGGUGAAAGCCCAUCGCUCAACGGUGGAACGGCCAUUGAUACUGCAGGACUUGAAUUAUUAGGAAGUAACUAGAAUAUGUAGUGUAGCGGUGAAAUGCUUAGAGAUUACAUGGAAUACCAAUUGCGAAGGCAGGUUACUACUAAUGGAUUGACGCUGAUGGACGAAAGCGUGGGUAGCGAACAGGAUUAGAUACCCUGGUAGUCCACGCCGUAAACGAUGGAUACUAGCUGUUGGGGGCAACUUCAGUGGCUAAGCGAAAGUGAUAAGUAUCCCACCUGGGGAGUACGGGCGCAAGCCUGAAACUCAAAGGAAUUGACGGGGGCCCGCACUAGCGGUGGAGCAUGUGGUUUAAUUCGAUGAUACGCGAGGAACCUUACCAAGGCUUAAAUGUAGAUAAUGUAUCGUGACUGGGA